rnacentral:misc_RNA from 1 species
UGAAAAGGUAACUUUGGUAAGGGAAGAAUUAUCAGAAUUACAUGAAACCCCUUUCCAAGAACAUGGGGUUGAAGCUUUAUCAGUUCCAUUCCAUACAAAAGAAUCACCAGUAUCAUUCUGAAACAGAUCAUAGACACUUCUCAUGACAUUAAUUUGAUUUGUGGGCAAUUGGGAAAACACAAUUUGAAGAGAAAAAGACAAGAAUAUAGUAAUAACUAUAUGGGGAGCAUACCUUAAGGUCAUUUUUUAUUUGUUUUUGGCUUUGACAGUCAGAAAGCUGAAAACUUCAAGAAAAUGAUAAGGGGUUUCAAGAAAAUCUAUGUACA